rnacentral:rRNA from 1 species
AGUGAACGCUGGCGGUAGGCCUAACASAUGCAAGUCGAACGGCAGCACAGUAGGAGCUUGCUCUUACGGGUGGCGAGUGGCGGACGGGUGAGGAAUACAUCGGAAUCUACCUUUUGGUGGGGGAUAACGUAGGGAAACUUACGCUAAUACCGCAUACGCCCUUCGGGGGAAAGCCGGGGACCAGCAAUGGCCUGGCGCUGAUAGAUGAGCCGAUGUCGGAUUAGCUAGUUGGUGAGGUAAUGGCUCACCAAGGCGACGAUCCGUAGCUGGUCUGAGAGGAUGAUCAGCCACACUGGAACUGAGACACGGUCCAGACUCCUACGGGAGGCAGCAGUGGGGAAUAUUGGACAAUGGGCGCAAGCCUGAUCCAGCCAUACCGCGUGGGUGAAGAAGGCCUUCGGGUUGUAAAGCCCUUUUGUUGGGAAAGAAAAGCAUUCGGUUAAUACCCGGGUGUUCUGACGGUACCCAAAGAAUAAGCACCGGCUAACUUCGUGCCAGCAGCCGCGGUAAUACGAAGGGUGCAAGCGUUACUCGGAAUUACUGGGCGUAAAGCGUGCGUAGGUGGUGGUUUAAGUCCGUUGUGAAAGCCCUGGGCUCAACCUGGGAAUUGCAGUGGAUACUGGAUCACUAGAGUGUGGUAGAGGAUAGUGGAAUUUCCGGUGUAGCAGUGAAAUGCGUAGAGAUCGGAAGGGAACAUCUGUGGCGA